CAAGUCGAACGAGAAAGUGGAGCAAUCCAUGAGUAAAGUGGCGCACGGGUGAGUAACACGUGACUAACCUACCCAGGAGUGGGGGAUAACUGAGGGAAACCUUAGCUAAUACCGCAUAACACCUACGGGUCAAAGGAGCAAUUCGCUUCUGGAGGGGGUCGCGGCCGAUUAGUUAGUUGGCAGGGUAACGGCCUACCAAGACGAUGAUCGGUAUCCGGCCUGAGAGGGCGCACGGACACACUGGAACUGAAACACGGUCCAGACUCCUACGGGAGGCAGCAGUGGGGAAUUUUGCGCAAUGGGGGAAACCCUGACGCAGCAACGCCGCGUGGAGGAUGAAGUCCUUCGGGACGUAAACUCCUUUCGAUCGGGACGAUUAUGACGGUACCGGAAGAAGAAGCCCCGGCUAACUUCGUGCCAGCAGCCGCGGUAAUACGAGGGGGGCGAGCGUUGUUCGGAAUUAUUGGGCGUAAAGGGUGCGUAGGCGGUUUGGUAAGUCUGAUGUGAAAUCUAUGGGCUCAACUCAUAGUCUGCAUCGGAAACUGCCGGGCUUGAGUAUGGGAGAGGUGAGUGGAAUUCCCUGGUGUAGCGGUGAAAUGCGUAGAUAUCAGGAGGAACACCUGUGGCGAAAGCGGCUCACUGGACCAUAACUGACGCUGAUGCACGAAAGCUAGGGGAGCAAACAGGAUU
rnacentral:rRNA from 1 species